GCUUACGGCCAUACCAGCCUGAAUACGCCCGAUCUCGUCCGAUCUCGGAAGCUAAGCAGGGUCGGGCCUGGUUAGUACUUGGAUGGGAGACCGCCUGGGAAUACCAGGUGCUAUAAGCU
rnacentral:rRNA from 1 species